CAUGACUUGGGACUGUCAGUACAGGAGACUGUACAAUAACACUGCAGCUUGGUGAUACUCGCAAGGCAGUAGAGAUACAUGGAGUUGGCCCUUUGUCCCCUUCACUAACUGUCCCCAAAUAGCUAUAUUUUUAUUCCCCUGGGGCCUUUCACACUCUCUACUUUCAUUUCUCCCUGUUGCCUCAUGUUCUGUUGCUUCUCAUCCAUAGCCUUAUUUCUCACACAGUAGGAGUAAGAACUUUGACAUGGCCCUCCUUUUUUGAGAAGUUAAGCACAGGAGUCCCGCUGCUCAGAGGUCCUCUUUGUUUACUCCAGAUUUCUUUGCUGUUUAUUGUGGUGGGUGGAGGAAGAUGGCGCUCACAGUUUUCCAGGUGUUACUGGAGUUGACAUGAAGCAGAGUUGCCACUUGGGAAAACACCUUUUGGCCUGUAUGAGGACCUCCCAGGUUAUAGACGCCUCAUACAUAUCAGAA
rnacentral:lncRNA from 1 species